rnacentral:rRNA from 1 species
GACGAACGCUGGCGGCGUGCUUAACACAUGCAAGUCGAACGGAAAGGCCCUGCUUUUGUGGGGUGCUCGAGUGGCGAACGGGUGAGUAACACGUGAGUAACCUGCCCUUGACUUUGGGAUAACUUCAGGAAACUGGGGCUAAUACCGGAUAGGAGCUCCUGCUGCAUGGUGGGGGUUGGAAAGUUUCGGCGGUUGGGGAUGGACUCGCGGCUUAUCAGCUUGUUGGUGGGGUAGUUGCUUACCAAGGCUUUGACGGGUAGCCGGCCUGAGAGGGUGACCGGCCACAUUGGGACUGAGAUACGGACCAGACUCCUACGGGAGGCAGUAGUGGGGAAUAUUGCACAAUGGGCGGAAGCCUGAUGCAGCAACGCCGCGUGCGGGAUGACGGCCUUCGGGUUGUAAACCGCUUUCGCCUGUGACGAAGCGUGAGUGACGGUAAUGGGUAAAGAAGCACCGGCUAACUACGUG